CUAAGGCUUAAAGCUCACCGCGCACUAGUAUAUUAUCUUGAAAAUAAACAUGCUAUGUCAUCAAAAAUGCAUGUGUCGCAUUUAUGCCACAAUAAACUUUGUGUCAACAUCAAGUACUUAAGUUAUGAGCCUCAAAGCAUUAACAAUAACAGACAAAUAUGUGGUCAUUAAGGUUCCCUAUGCACUUGAAAAUGUUUCUAAGCUGUGUCUUGUUUACAAUCAUGUUCAAAUAGUCGGAUAUAUUUGCACUGUUUCCAAUUGUAUCACUUUGAUUUUCAGACUGUGGUACUGUUUGACGUGGUCGCAGUUUAAAAGAGAGACCGAGUGGAUCCUGAGAACGGUUACACGCAUUCAAGACACCGUUCGCUACAGAAUCACCCAAUCGCACGACACUUUCCAGACUGUGGUACUGUUUGACGUGGCCGCAGUUUAAAAGGGAGACCGAGUGGAUCCUGAGAACGGUUACACGCAUUCAAGACAUCGUUCGCUACAGAAACACCCAAUCGCACGACACUUUCCAGACUGUGGUACUGUUUGACGUGGUCGCAGUUUAAAAGGGAGACCGAGUGGAUCCUGAGAACGGUUACACGCAUUCAAGAUAUCGUUCGCUACAGAAUCACCCAAUCGCACGACACUUUCCAGGUCAGGGUCUGAAUUCAACGGAAUAGAAUCUUGAAAUUGUUUCUCUACACUGGGCACAUGACUGCUGUUAUAGUUUUUUGAAAUACUCCUUUUUUGAAAAGUUCACCUUUGUUUUUCCUAGUGCGAUUGUUUUUUUAACUGUGCUGAGAUUUCUUAUGGAGUGAUCUCAUUUUGAAUGGUAUUUUAAUGAAUGAAUAUCAAUAUUUGGUGCAUGUAUUAUGUAAUCAUAGGAGAAUAUACAUCUGUAAGACUGAUUGAUAUUGUCAAUAAUCAUUUU